CCUACGGGAGGCAGCAGUGAGGAAUAUUGGUCAAUGGCCGGAAGGCUGAACCAGCCAUGCCGCGUGAAGGUCAGUGCCCUAUGGGCGUUAAACUUCUUUUGUGCGGGAGCAAUAAUGGUCAAGUGUGGCCAGACGAGAGUACCGUACGAAUAAGCAUCGGCUAACUCCGUGCCAGCAGCCGCGGUAAUACUGGGGAUGCAAGCGUUAUCCGGAUUUAUUGGGUUUAAAGGGUGCGUAGGCUGGGAGGUAAGUCAGCGGGGAAAUGCCCCCGCUCAACGGGGUGAAGUGCCAUUGAUACUGCCUUGCUGGAAUGCGGAUGCCGUGGGAGGAAUGUGUGGUGUAGUGGUGAAAUGCAUAGAUAUCACACAGAACACCGAUUGCGAAGGCAUCUCACGAAUCCGCGAUUGACGCUGAUGCACGAAAGCGUGGGUAUCAAACAGGAUUAGAUACCCCUGUAGUC
rnacentral:rRNA from 1 species